CAGAAGAUAGUUUAAUUUAGAAUUCUGGCUUUGGGAGCCAGGGGUGGGAGUUAAAAUCUCCUUUUUCUGA
rnacentral:tRNA from 1 species